rnacentral:rRNA from 1 species
UACGUAGGCAGCGAGCGUUGUUCGGAGUUACUGGGCGUAAAGGGUGUGUGGGCGGUUCUCUAAGUUUGGUGUGAAAUCUCCCGCUCAACCGGGAGGGUGCGCCGAAAACUGGGGGACUCGAGUGCGGGAUGGGAGAGUAGAAUUCCUGGUGUAGCGGUGAAAUGCGUAGAUAUCAGGAGGAAUACCGGUGGUGUAGACGGCUCUCUGGACCGCCACUGACGCUGAGACACGAAAGCGUGGGUAGCAAACAGG